rnacentral:rRNA from 1 species
GGAGGGUGCAAGCGUUAAUCGGAAUUACUGGGCGUAAAGCGCACGCAGGCGGUUUGUUAAGUCAGAUGUGAAAUCCCCGGGCUCAACCUGGGAACUGCAUCUGAUACUGGCAAGCUUGAGUCUCGUAGAGGGGGGUAGAAUUCCAGGUGUAGCGGUGAAAUGCGUAGAGAUCUGGAGGAAUACCGGUGGCGAAGGCGGCCCCCUGGACGAAGACUGACGCUCAGGUGCGAAAGCGUGGGGAGCAAACAGGAUUAGAUACCCUGGUAGUCCACGCCGUAAACGAUGUCGACUUGGAGGUUGUGCCCCUUGAGGCGUGGCUUCCGGAGCUAACGCGUUAAGUCGACCGCCUGGGGAGCACGGCCGCAAGGUUA